rnacentral:rRNA from 1 species
UGAGGAAUAUUGGUCAAUGGGCGCGAGCCUGAACCAGCCAAGUAGCGUGCAGGAUGACGGCCCCAUGGGUUGUAAACUGCUUUUGUAUGGGGAUAAAGUCAAUCACGUGUGAUUGUUUGCAGGUACCAUACGAAUAAGGACCGGCUAAUUCCGUGCCAGCAGCCGCGGUAAUACGGAAGGUCCGGGCGUUAUCCGGAUUUAUUGGGUUUAAAGGGAGCGUAGGCCGGAGAUUAAGUGUGUUGUGAAAUGUAGACGCUCAACGUCUGACUUGCAGCGCAUACUGGUUUCCUUGAGUACGCACAACGUUGGCGGAAUUCGUCGUGUAGCGGUGAAAUGCUUAGAUAUGACGAAGAACUCCGAUUGCGAAGGCAGCUGACGGGAGCGCAACUGACGCUUAAGCUCGAAGGUGCGGGUAUCGAACAGGAUUAGAUACCCUGGUAGUCCGCACAGUAAACGAUGGAUGCCCGCUGUUGGUACCUGGUAUCAGCGGCUAAGCGAAAGCAUUAAGCAUCCCACCUGGGGAGUACGCCGGCAACGGU